GACGAACGCUGGCGGCGUGCUUAACACAUGCAAGUCGAACGGAAAGGCCCUGCUUUUGUGGGGUGCUCGAGUGGCGAACGGGUGAGUAACACGUGAGUAACCUGCCCUUGACUUUGGGAUAACUUCAGGAAACUGGGGCUAAUACCGGAUAGGAGCUCCUGCUGCAUGGUGGGGGUUGGAAAGUUUCGGCGGUUGGGGAUGGACUCGCGGCUUAUCAGCUUGUUGGUGGGGUAGUGGCUUACCAAGGCUUUGACGGGUAGCCGGCCUGAGAGGGUGACCGGCCACAUUGGGACUGAGAUACGGCCCAGACUCCUACGGGAGGCAGCAGUGGGGAAUAUUGCACAAUGGGCGGAAGCCUGAUGCAGCAACGCCGCGUGCGGGAUGACGGUCUUCGGGUUGUAAACCGCUUUCGCCUGUGACGAAGCGUGAGUGACGGUAAUGGGUAAAGAAGCACCGGCUAACUACGUGCCAGCAGCCGCGGUGAUACGUAGGGUGCGAGCGUUGUCCGGAUUUAUUGGGCGUAGAGGGCUCGUAGGUGGUUGAUCGCGUCGGAAGUGUAAUCUUGGGGCUUAACCCUGAGCGUGCUUUCGAUACGGGUUGACUUGAGGAAGGUAGGGGAGAAUGGAAUUCCUGGUGGAGCGGUGGAAUGCGCAGAUAUCAGGAGGAACACCAGUGACGAAGGCGGUUCUCUGGGCCUUUCCUGACGCUGAGGAGCGAAAGCGUGGGGAGCGAACAGGCUUAGAUACCCUGGUAGUCCACGCUGUAAACGGUGGGUACUAGGUGUGGGGUCCAUUCCACGGGUUCCGUGCCGUAGCUAACGCUUUAAGUACCCCGCCUGGGGAGUACGGCCGCAAGGCUAAAACUCAAAGGAAUUGACGGGGCCCCGCACAAGCGGCGGAGCAUGCGGAUUAAUUCGAUGCAACGCGUAGAACCUUACCUGGGUUUGACAUGGAUCGGGAGCGCUCAGAGAUGGGUGUGCCUCUUUUGGGGUCGGUUCACAGGUGGUGCAUGGCUGUCGUCAGCUCGUGUCGUGAGAUGUUGGGUUAAGUCCCGCAACGAGCGCAACCCUUGUUCACUGUUGCCAGCACGUUAUGGUGGGGACUCAGUGGAGACCGCCGGGGUCAACUCGGAGGAAGGUGGGGAUGACGUCAAGUCAUCAUGCCCCUUAUGUCCAGGGCUUCACGCAUGCUACAAUGGCUGGUACAGAGAGUGGCGAGCCUGUGAGGGUGAGCGAAUCUCGGAAAGCCGGUCUCAGUUCGGAUUGGGGUCUGCAACUCGACCUCAUGAAGUCGGAGUCGCUAGUAAUCGCAGAUCAGCAACGCUGCGGUGAAUACGUUCCCGGG
rnacentral:rRNA from 1 species